rnacentral:rRNA from 1 species
ACGAACGCUGGCUCUAUGCCUAACACAUGCAAGUCGAACGGGAUCCUGGCUUCGGUCAGGUGAGAGUGGCGCACGGGUGAGUAACGCGUGGGAACCUGCCCAGUGGUGGGGGAUAACUGCGGGAAACUGCAGCUAAUACCGCAUGAGCCCGAGAGGGGAAAGAUUUAUCGCCAUUGGAGGGGCCCGCGUUCGAUUAGGUAGUUGGUGGGGUAAAGGCCUACCAAGCCGACGAUCGAUAGCUGGUCUGAGAGGAUGAUCAGCCACACUGGGACUGAGAUACGGCCCAGACUCCUACGGGAGGCAGCAGUGGG